ACGUCAUAACGCCGGUUGUCAAUAGUUGCAGAAAUACGCAAAAGGAUUGUAAAACUAGAAUGCUCUGCUAUUUCACUGGGUGUUGAUGUGCUGUAUGUUCUGUGCAGGAAGUGUACUUUGUGCGUUGUGCUUUUCAAUAGAAAGUCCCUUGACUAGGAGGAUGUGGGUUGUAUCUAGAACCGAUGCUUUUGGACUGUGUAGAAUUGUAAACCCAAGCAUCCAGGUAAAUAGCAUUAUGAUGUACCUCGUCCAGCAAAGAUGCUAUAUUCUCAAUGCAGAUUACUGAAUAUAUACAAGGUACAUUCCAGGCGCUUUGAAACUUUUUCAGGUUACCAACAUUCCACGCUAUGCUUUACAGAGAAUAUAACAAUUUGCGCUGUUAAAUUGAAUCCCAUGGAAAUAGAUGAACAUUUUGACCAAUCAAAUCAUAUAUCGUCAAACCAGUCUGUCAAAUUACGUAUCAGAAACGUGGAUUUUACAUACCAUCCGAUAAAAAAAAUCGAUCAGGAAGCAGUCUCACAGAGCUUACCGAAUACUAUUUUUUUCAAUGAAAUCACAGAGAGCAGACGACCAUCGCUGGAAAAUAUUUGGCUGAAACAACUCAAAAGCCAUUAUUUAAAAAUCACACGAAUCGUAUAUUACACACGCAAUCAAACACACACUCACGAACACACACGCACACACACAGACACAUAUAUACACAUAUAUACACACACAGACACAUAUAUACACACAUACACACACACACAUAUACACGUACAUAAAUACGUAAUACAUUUGAGCAUAAUUUUGAAAUGUCAAAAAUUACCAGGUGCAUUAAACAAUACUCAUCGUGUCGUUGGAGGUUAUGCUAUACUUGUUUAGCAGCUGUUCUCCUCUUAACAGCAUUACGAGUUGACAUUAGCAUUGCUUUUGCUUGUAUGCUGAAAACAACCAACAGUUCAUUUCAAGAAGUUAAUCAUACUGGAAUAAAGGAAGAAUGUCCAGGGUCGGAGAAUCAGUUACCAGAUAAAACAUUUGAAGGCGAGUUCGAAUGGAGUAACUCUUUACAG
rnacentral:lncRNA from 1 species